GAACGCUGGCGGCGUGCUUAACACAUGCAAGUCGAACGAUGAAGCCCUUCGGGGUGGAUUAGUGGCGAACGGGUGAGUAACACGUGGGCAAUCUGCCCUUCACUCUGGGACAAGCCCUGGAAACGGGGUCUAAUACCGGAUAUUACCGCUGACCGCAUGGUCUGGUGGUGGAAAGCUCCGGCGGUGAAGGAUGAGCCCGCGGCCUAUCAGCUUGUUGGUGAGGUAGUGGCUCACCAAGGCGACGACGGGUAGCCGGCCUGAGAGGGCGACCGGCCACACUGGGACUGAGACACGGCCCAGACUCCUACGGGAGGCAGCAGUGGGGAAUAUUGCACAAUGGGCGAAAGCCUGAUGCAGCGACGCCGCGUGAGGGAUGACGGCCUUCGGGUUGUAAACCUCUUUCAGCAGGGAAGAAGCGAAAGUGACGGUACCUGCAGAAGAAGCGCCGGCUAACUACGUGCCAGCAGCCGCGGUAAUACGUAGGGCGCAAGCGUUGUCCGGAAUUAUUGGGCGUAAAGAGCUCGUAGGCG
rnacentral:rRNA from 1 species